CCAGACUCCUACGGGAGGCAGCAGUGGGGAAUAUUGCGCAAUGGGGGCAACCCUGACGCAGCAACGCCGCGUGAUUGAAGAAGGCCUUCGGGUUGUAAAGAUCUUUAAUCAGGGACGAAAAAUGACGGUACCCGAAGAAUAAGCUCCGGCUAACUACGUGCCGGCAGCCGCGGUAAUACGUAGGGAGCAAGCGUUAUCCGGAUUUACUGGGUGUAAAGGGCGUGUAGGCGGGCUUGUAAGUCAGAAGUGAAAUCUGGGGGCUUAACCCCCAAACUGCUUUUGAAACUGCGGGUCUUGAGUGAUGGAGAGGCAGGCGGAAUUCCCAGUGUAGCGGUGAAAUGCUUAGAUAUUGCGCAGAACUCCGAUUGCGAAGGCAGCAUACCGGCGGCGAUCUGACGCUGAGGCACGAAAGCGUGGGUAUCGAACAGGAUUAGAUACCCCAGUAUAG
rnacentral:rRNA from 1 species